rnacentral:lncRNA from 1 species
CUCUUUUUUUGGAACAAAUCUAGUACUCCAUCGUCUGUGUGCGUGGUCUGGAAACAGAGAUCAUUUGGCUUUCACCUCUCUUCCUUAGCCAAAGUUCUAUGUUUCAAUUAGAGUGAUAGGCUAGCUAGGUUUCUUCUCUGGUUUCUCAUCUCUUCCUUAGCGAUAAUUUACGCGGGAUGAAUGAAAAACUUAGCGCUAAAUUUUGCCGUAAUUUGCGAGAUCGAUAAUUGAUUGUGCGAAGAAUGUUUCAUACUGCUAAAGGGAUUAUCAUUAAUCCCAAAAUUUCCCCCCCAACUUCAUCUUCCAAUCAAAAAAAUUUCUCUUUCUAUCUCAAUUGCAGAUGCCCUAACUGGAAAGACCCAAAGACCUUUCAAUUUGUUCGAAGGUAUUUUUUUCUAACAACUUUGUUCCUCCCUAUUCCAUUACUUGCUAAAAUGAUUUAUAUAAUUAGUUUUAUUGUCAAUGAAAUUGGUGAGAAGGGAAGGAAUCUUAAUUUUUUAAUUAUGCUUUAACUUCUUUUAGGAUUAGUUUGUUGAUUUAGUUCUUGGGAAUCUUAAUCUUUUUAAUUAUGCUCAUUUGGGUCUUCUUGCUUCUUUUGUUGAUUUGGGUAGCAAGAACUGAUAUAUAUUGAUUCGGAGUUUUGAUGUCUUAAUUUGUAAGUCUGCAUAUUCUCAUAAAUGGAAAAUCCAAUUUUCUGUCAAUUUAUUGAAACCUAUUAUGUAGUUGUUCACACACAAAUAUUUGUUUUCUUUGUGAUUAGGCAUGAAGUUACCAAUGUUUUUAUAAGAUUCUCAAAAUAUAUGUUAAGUCUAUCUAAAUUGUGGUCAAAAGUUGGGCUCUACCCUAUGAUAUUUUGUAGUUAUUGGUUUAACUCAAAACUUAACCAUAACAUGGUAUGUUAAUAUUAUGAUUAAUUCACCCUUGACUUUUAGUUUAUGUUCAGACAUUAGGUUGAGAACAAAGCUACUUGUGUUAUUUAUGUCACAAUAAUGAUCCACAAAAAUUAAGUGGAAUGAUGAUAGACUCCACGGCACACUUGCGUGAGGUGGUGGUCGCCGCCCCGAUCGUUUCUAGCGCAGUUGUUGGGUGAAUUGCUUGCAACACCUUAACCCCUCGCCUAUAUGUAGACGGUAAUCUUGGUNNNNNNNNNNNNNNNNNNNNNNNNNNNNNNNNNNNNNNNNNNNNNNNNNNNNNNNNNNNNNNNNNNNNNNNNNNNNNNNNNNNNNNNNNNNNNNNNNNNNUAUUGAAGCGGUAAUCUCGGUACAAUCGACGAUUGAUGCGGUAGAAGACGCCACACACAACUAUGAAUUGUUGUAUGAUAAGUCAAAUUGAAUCUCAAAGAAAUAACUAAGAAAAAUACUUAGGAAUUCUUCAAAGAACCAAAAGUAGAGAAUAAUCUCACAAAUAUAUUGAAUAAUGAAUAAUGAUAAUGUAUAAUGUCUUUGAUUACAUCAACUUGGACCUCUAUUUAUACUACUCAAAACAAUCCAAAUCCUAAUAGGAAUUAAUAAACUAUAACCCUAAUUUCUAUAAGGAAAUAGAAGUCAAUUUGGAAAAUAAAUUCUAAUGAAAAAAAAUCCUAAUUAUAAUAGAAUUUAAAAUUAAGAAUCUAAAUAAAAAUAAAAUCCUUCCCCACUUGAACUUGUCGUGUAGUAUAAGCAAUCCAUUGCCGCGUGAAGGUCAUUGCCGCGUGAAGGCUGUGCUAGCAGUAUGUGAAUUGAUUUGCAAGCCUUGCAUGAUUUCAUGUAAUUAUUGAAUAUAAUAUAUCAAGUGACUCCUUUAAUUUGCAUGCCAUAUCUGUUGUCCACGUGUGCAUAUAUGAUUCCCAUCAUAGUCUCCAUACUAUUUCCAUGCUAUCAAUAUGUUUAGACAGCAAGUGGCCCACGUGAAUGGUGCUGACUAUGUUAAGUGAAUGGUGCUGACUAAGUUAAUUAAGCCCACUUGAAUUUUACAUACUGCUGAAUAUGUUAAGUCUGAGAACUCCUUUGCAAGCGGAUUGAAUUGAAUGGACCAACUGGGUCAGCCCAAUAACACUAAAAUUGUACUCCCUUAAAUAAUCUUUAGCUCAAUUACUUGAAAUCAUUUGUUGAACACUUGACACUCGAGUCGAUAAAUUGACGAAAAAUUCUGACCCGGUCAAUCUGUCAUCAUUCCCCUCCCCUUCAAAAGGAUUUGUCCUCAAAUCUGGCAUCCGCUCCCCUCGAAAAGGAUUUGUCCACAAAUCUGAUCCUACAUCAAAACAAUCAAAGUUAGAAUCACCAAACAAAACAUAACCACAAGUCUCACUUGGUAAUUUAAAUGAAUAAGCAAUAUCAGCAACGCAAGCAAGAAUUUGAAAAGUUCCAACUCCUCCUGGAUCAAAUAUCAAAAUGAAAAACUCUUCAUGUGAUAGAUUUUCCCAAUGACGAAUUCCCGGAUCAAACGGAAAUCUUAUGAUCUCGAUCAUUUUCAAACAUAACCACGUCAAUGAUCCUGGGUCAAAUAUCAACUUUUGAAAUUCAUUAGGUCGCAUAAGCCCAUACACCUGAAUCCCUGGAUUAAACACAAAAUAAAACAAAUCAACAAGUUCCUUUUGUCUAAUCACAAAGGAAUCAAAUAAAUCAAAAUCACAUGCAUAGUCUACUAAAACAAUAUUCAAAACACUUCCCUGUAGACUCUCAAUGAAUUGAUCGAAUUGAAUUGCACGAUCCAUGUUUUCCUCGAUGAAUAUGAUCACGUCAUGAAUCUGCAAAACACAACCACACUUUCUCCUUCCAUUGACAUUAAUAACACAGUCAAAAUCACAUAAUAGCACCAACGAAAUAAAAAGGUCACAAUCAUAAGUUGAAAAUUCAAUAGCAUAUCGACGAUGAUCACAAACAAACUCAACACAUGCUAAAGAAUUUCCCAAAAUGUUUACAAAAAUCGAAAUAUCAUCAAAAUAAAGAAUUUUUCCCAUAAAAGAAUGUAAAAUAUAAUUCAAUAAUUCCAUGGAAGUAUGCAAUGCCUUAGCUAAUCCAAGUGAACUAACUAAACAUGCAAAUAACUUAUCCCUCAAACGAUCUUGAUGAUAAACACUUGUUGAAUCAAAACCAUAUGAUAGCAAAUCAUGCAAGGAAGAUUGGUCUAACGAAACAACAUGAUUACUACCAUUGUCAACUAACGAUAAUUCAUGUAAAGAUUGACUAGCAUGAAACCCUAAGUCAAUAUUUGAAUAAGAAAACCUAGAAUUAAUUUCAUGCAAGUAAGCACAUCGAAAACGAGAAUAUAUAUCAUGAUCAUAAACUAACUCAACAAACAUCAAGUAUCCACCAUAAUUUAUGAUAUAGAUGAUUCUACCCACAAAAUAGCUAACAACAAAGCCAAUGGAAGCAUGCAAAACAUGUUUUAAAUAACUCAUGAAAACACUAGAUGCAUCAGUUAAUCUAACAGAAAUAACUAACCACAUAUGUAACUCACAUGCGAAAAUAAUUUUCCAUUUAUCACAAUAUCUCAUGCUAAAUUGAUUAGGCAUUGUCAUCACAUGAUUAUUAUCACAUGUAGAUAAAACAUAAGAACUAUGCAAUUUAUCAAACAUAUUAUCUAAAUAAAGAAAAGAAUAACGAUACUUGUUUACCAAUUCAAAAUCGAUGCACAAACUCGUUGUCCCAUCCUUUUUAGGUACUAUGAUCUCAUAAUCAACACAUGAACUCAUGUCUUCUCUCACGAUACCACUUUCACCAACUCUCCAACCCGCCUUGGUAACUCCGUCGUCUCCUCGGAAAUACUAUCAGCUGAUCGGUACGGAAUGAUAGUACGGGGUAUUUCAUCAACCACCUGUACAAGAGACAAAACAAAACUAGACAAAGAAGAAUCAUUAGUGUUAGUAUUCAAAAGCGCCGUCUUGUACGAAUGUACAAUCAUUGGCUUUUCAAAAUAUAACUCACUUUUCAACUCACUCUCUUUUUCAUAGUCACAUUUCUUCUCUCUCUUCUUUAUGCUCACCCUCUCGUUUGUUUUUCUCUCGUUUGUUUUCAAGGUCACUCUCAUUCUCUUUAUUCUCAAUCUCUCUUUUCUUUUCAUUCUCACUCCUUUCAAUUUUUCCUUUAACAUUAUAAAUCCGAACAAUUUCUUUUUGUCGAUCUUUUCCACAUGUAUUUCCUUGUACGAACUCAUCUUCUUGAUUACUUUCUUUCGGAUGUUCACCAUCUUGCUUUAGAUCAUGGAUUUCAUCUUGAACACUCGAACCCAAUAACUCUCCUUGGACUGCAUAUUUUAUAAUUUCUUCCACCUCCCCACGCUGAUCUUGUUUCUUUUGCGCCUUAAAAGUAUAUUGUAGCUGCAUCCAAUAAUCUUCCUUGUUUACUUGUGUGCGAACACUCCUAUUAUUGUCUACUGUAAAUCGCCUUGAAGGUUGCUCUACAUGUCUUUGAGAUGUAUACUCCUCCCUCCUGUCACGCUGUACUGGAGCAAAGCGCUUUCUCAUUGCUGAUUUUAAUUCUGCCCAUGUCUCGAACGGACGCUCCCCAUAUUUUUGUUUGAUAAGCUGCCACCAUAUAAUUGUAUGAUCGGAGAACUCUUGAACUGCCCGUCUGACCUUCCUCCUCUCGGAGUAAUCAUGAGAGUCAAAUUCUCGCUCCAUUUUUCUCUCCCAUCUCAGAUAUGCCUCUGUAUCAAUAUUGCCUUAAAAAGUAUUCCUUCGAGACCCAUAAUAACUUUCAUAAUUGUAGCCAUACAUGUUUGCUGUAAAACAAAGGUUAGUAGAUAAAAAUUUUCCUCACACACUCCCUUACGUGUUUUCGCUCAAAUAAUGAUGAAUCACUCGUGUAUCGCUCAAAUUUGGCUUUUACCCUCUAAUAAUCUUACACUCUUGCCUUUUACCUCUAAUAUUCUCUCUAAUAGGUUCUUCUUGAAUUCUCCUAGCAAAAUUCUUGGUUUUACUAAUCAAUUCAAAAAUUACUUAUCACGAAACAAAAUUAUAGAUGGUGUAACUAUUAGAAUAUCACAAAAUCACCAAUCGAUUGCCUUGUACUCCUCUUGUAUGCUUCAGAUUUGUAAAUUGUAGCUCCGUUUCAGAAUUGAUGAUGAUGGACGGUAUGAAAUCUUCGUUGGAAUUUGAUGGUGUGCUACAAGUUUGGUUAGCACAAUGAAAAUAGAAUAUGAAUUUUUUUCUUUUUUCUUUUUUGUUCGUUUUUUUUUUUUUUUACUCACGAUUUUUUUUUCAAUAUAUAUUUCGACAGAAAAUUAAAGAUAAGUAACUUGCUAGAAAGGCUUAGCUCUGAUACCAAAUGAUAGACUCCACGGCACGCUUGCGUGAGGUGGUCGCCGCCCCGAUCGUUUCUAGCGCAGUUGUUGGGUGAAUUGCUUGCAACACCUUAACCCCUCGCCUAUAUGUAGACGGUAAUCUUGGUACAAUUGCUCGCGUUCGGAAUUCUGCGUUGAAUGGACACCAACGACACCUUGACCCCUCGCUUGUAUUGAAGCGGUAAUCUCGGUACAAUCGACGAUUGAUGCGGUAGAAGACGCCACACAACUAUGAAUUGUUGUAUGAUAAGUCAAAUUGAAUCUCAAAGAAAUAACUAAGAAAAAUACUUAGGAAUUCUUCAAAGAACCAAAAGUAGAGAAUAAUCUCACAAAUAUAUUGAAUAAUGAAUAAUGAUAAUGUAUAAUGUCUUUGAUUACAUCAACUUGGACCUCUAUUUAUACUACUCAAAACAAUCCAAAUCCUAAUAGGAAUUAAUAAACUAUAACCCUAAUUUCUAUAAGGAAAUAGAAGUCAAUUUGGAAAAUAAAUUCUAAUGAAAAAAAAUCCUAAUUAUAAUAGAAUUUAAAAUUAAGAAUCUAAAUAAAAAUAAAAUCCUUCCCCACUUGAACUUGUCGUGUAGUAUAAGCAAUCCAUUGCCGCGUGAAGGUCAUUGCCGCGUGAAGGCUGUGCUAGCAGUAUGUGAAUUGAUUUGCAAGCCUUGCAUGAUUUCAUGUAAUUAUUGAAUAUAAUAUAUCAAGUGACUCCUUUAAUUUGCAUGCCAUAUCUGUUGUCCACGUGUGCAUAUAUGAUUCCCAUCAUAGUCUCCAUACUAUUUCCAUGCUAUCAAUAUGUUUAGACAGCAAGUGGCCCACGUGAAUGGUGCUGACUAUGUUAAGUGAAUGGUGCUGACUAAGUUAAUUAAGCCCACUUGAAUUUUACAUACUGCUGAAUAUGUUAAGUCUGAGAACUCCUUUGCAAGCGGAUUGAAUUGAAUGGACCAAUUGGGUCAGCCCAAUAACACUAAAAUUGUACUCCCUUAAAUAAUCUUUAGCCCAAUUACUUGAAAUCAUUUGUUGAACACUUGACACUCGAGUCGAUAAAUUGACGAAAAAUUCUGACCCGGUCAAUCUGUCAUCAAAUGAACUCAUAAUUUUUGAACAAACAACAAAGUGUAGCGAAUUCUGAGAUCUUUCCCCUUGAAAAUUGUUUCUUCCAUUCACUCCCAUUGUCCUAUAAUACACUUCUAGUAAUGAAAAUAAGAGAAACUCUUGCCAAUAUGAAUUUUUGCAUAUAGUCGGUUUAUCACGUCAUUAACAUCACAUGUUGAUAGGCAAACACGGGAUUUUAGUAAUUCUAAAGUUUUUUUGAUUUACAAUCUUUUAUUAUUUAUUAUGCUUGUACUGCUUCUUAUAGAAAUUAACUGAAUAUGAAGUUCUUAAGUUUAAUUGUUCAAAUCAAAUUUUGGCUAACCACACAUUUGUCAUCAAUAACCAUUUCAAAUAGUUUUAUUUAUUUUUAGAAUUUUUUUGGUUGAAAAAUCAAUUCAGGCGCAGGCAGCAUAGUACUUGAAAAAUAAAACACUUGAGCAUAGCAUACAUAGUUCUCCAGUUUAUAAAGAAAGAUGAUGUUUUGCAAGCACUUUAUUCAGAAAUGGGAUUAAGAAGCAUAAUAAACGAAAAUUGUAAGACCACUGCAGCCUGCAAAAAUCACUUGCAACUCAAUGUUGAGGUGAGGUAUAUUCUACUUUCAUUUGUGCUCUUGGCAUAUACUAUUGGCUUACACGACUUACUUACUAAUGCAGGUACGGUCUUUCCAUGCCAUGUAUUGUGCUACUUGAAAUUGUAAACUUUUUGAUGCUGUAAGAGCUUCUCAUAGGGGGUUAAUACCUUGAAAAAUAUUUUGAUGAUAAUACUAACUCAUAAAUUGUCUAUUGAAAUCUAUUUCUUUCCAAAAUAAUUAGAAGUUGCUCGCAUAAGCUUGGGCAUUCUUUAUAGAUGAUAUCCGUGACAGAUUUACGACCAAUUCAUUUAAUAAUUCCAUUUGUGGUACUCAUGCACAACAUUUUUUCUAGGAUAUCAAACUUAUGUAGUUGAAUGCUCAUCAUUUUACAAUACUAUCAAUUCAUGAAUAAAUAAGGCCAUGUUUGUUUAUAAAAAAUGCUUGGGAUUGAACUAUUUGUCUUGAUUUAACACUAUUACGAACUAUUUUAUUCAUGAUGGUAGAUUAAUAGUCAUUUAAAUAGUUAUAUAGACAAUUUUUUGUUAUUCCUAAGGCUAUUUAUGAGGGAUUAUAUGAAUGUGGGAUUAAUAGUCCCCGAGACUGGAAAUGUGAUUAUUUUAAUUCUCUGUUUUAAUCCAUUUUAAUUUUGGUUAAUAGUAUUCUUAAUCCAUUUUAAUAAUAUUCUCAAUCCAUUUUAUUUGCAGAGGUAGCAAUGGGAGAGGUGUUGCUGUUGUUUCUUGGACUUUGAAGCUUGUUAUGUUGAAUGACUAAUGUGUGACCAUUAAUCAGUGAUAGAAUACUUGUUCACCCGUGUGAAUUUGGGAAUUUAGUCAAAGCGUUAAUUCCUCCCGGUAACAUCUAGUGGUGUAAGCUUAGUUGAGUUUGUGAUGCUAAUUUUGUUAAUUAUAAUGGAAUUUGUUAAUAUGUGCUUUUGAUUAUCAAUGAAUAAGAUAUAUGGAUUGCUUGAAAAUAUUGGUUUAUGACAGAGUUUAAUCUUUUCAAGUACUUAACUAGUUAGAGUUGGUUCUUCAGUUCUGCCCAAUAGUACCUGAAGUUGAGAAAGCUGAAUUGAGAAAUUUAUGAUUUGCUAGAUGCUAAUUUGAAGUUGAC